rnacentral:lncRNA from 1 species
GCUCUGGUCAUCCGGACAGCAAGGUCCUGUGCUCCCCUCUUAGUUCAGCUCCUGAAAGCAGUGCAGUCAGGGAUGCUCUGCUGCCUCAGCGCCUGGAGCCUGCGCUGAAAAAAAGUUGUAUUCUUCCUGAUAAUCAAAGCAAAGUCCUGCUAACAAGUACGCCAUCCUCAGACAUAGCUGAGUUUGUGGUUUCUCCAAACACAUCAGAGAUCUGUUGUAUUAUUAGGGCAUCACCAGGAACUAGACAGAUGAGAAGGAAAGAUGCGACUGUGAAAAACAGAUGCUCUGUUCCUACAGACGUUCCUCUAGAUAUUAUAAUGAAGACAAAUGGCAGAACUUAACAGCAGCUGGAUGUUCACUGCUUUGAAGAUGUGAAUGUGAAUAUGAAGUCCAUACAAGCAGAAUGUCUGCCUGAAAUUAUAUAAAAUUAAAAAUUCUCUUAUUGUUUGUGAUAAACCGAGUGGAAA